GACGAUUCCUACGGGAGGCAGCAGUAGGGAAUCUUCCGCAAUGGACAAAAGUCUGACGGAGCAACGCCGCGUGAGUGAUGAAGGUUUUCGGAUCGUAAAGCUCUGUUGCCAGGGAAGAACGUCCGGUAGAGUAACUGCUACCGGAGUGACGGUACCUGAGAAGAAAGCCCCGGCUAACUACGUGCCAGCAGCCGCGGUAAU
rnacentral:rRNA from 1 species